GUCGGCAAAAUAGAUCCGUAACUUCGGGAAAAGGAUUGGCUCUGAGGGCUGGGCGUUCGGGACCCUUGUGUGCGAGCGAGGUGCAUGCGAAGGUUGAGGGCCCUUCGGGGACUUCGCCGACGCGGCCCUUGUUCGCCGCUUGGGGUGCCUCUGGCUUUUCCGGGCGCGGUGAACAGCCAACUCAGAACUGGAGCGGACAAGGGUAAUCCGACUGUUUAAUUAAAAC
rnacentral:rRNA from 12 species